GACGAACGCUGGCGGCGUGCUUAACACAUGCAAGUCGAACGGUGAACGAGGGAGCUUGCUCCCUCCGGAUCAGUGGCGAACGGGUGAGUAACACGUGAGCAAUCUGCCCCGAACUCUGGGAUAAGCGUUGGAAAUGACGUCUAAUACCGGAUACGACGCGGGAGGGCAUCCUCUCCGCGUGGAAAGAACUUCGGUUCGGGAUGAGCUCGCGGCCUAUCAGCUUGUUGGUGAGGUAACGGCUCACCAAGGCGACGACGGGUAGCCGGCCUGAGAGGGUGACCGGCCACACUGGGACUGAGACACGGCCCAGACUCCUACGGGAGGCAGCAGUGGGGAAUAUUGCACAAUGGGCGCAAGCCUGAUGCAGCAACGCCGCGUGAGGGACGACGGCCUUCGGGUUGUAAACCUCUUUUAGCAGGGAAGAAGCGAAAGUGACGGUACCUGCAGAAAAAGCACCGGCUAACUACGUG
rnacentral:rRNA from 1 species